AGGCGCCGCACGGGCGCCCAACCUCGGGGUGCCGCCUCCACAGGCUGUGGCUGGGGCUGGGGCGCGGGAGGCCCGCGGGGCUUCGGAGAGGGAAACUUAGAGAAAAGUCUUCCACUUGGCUUGGGGCCGCAGGGGAAGGAAGACGCCCUCCGCCUGUGCCGGCGCCGACCGCGGGCCGGCAGGUGGGGAGGCCCAGAGCUGGCGGGGAGUUCGUCCCACUCGGAGCCACAGCCUUGCCCGAGGGAGCCUCGAAAUCGUUCAAGGGCAACCUCAGACCAGAGCCAGGGCGCCUCCUCCACAUUCCUGACAGAUGUGCACGCCGCCUCCUCUUGGAUGCUUCCCGUGACAAGGAGCUCACUCCUCAACAAGGCGGACUGCUCGUCCAUCAAGCCUGGCAUCUAAUUCACCUGUGCCGGGUACCGCAGAUGGAGAACGCCAGACAGCUGACACAAAUGCAAGACCCACAGCAACCCCAGAGGCUGAAUUAUUUCCUCCUGGAUGGGAAUGAGUCAUCUCCUCCGCCGUCUCCCUCAACAGGGCUGUAACAUGUUUCCAAGGGUUUCAAAGCCCUGUUUGAAAACAUGGGCUUUGCGGACAGACCCAUGUUCAACUUCAACCCCAGCGGCUUCUGGGUGGGUGGCCUUGAGCAAGUCUCUUCCCAAAGGCUCAUCUUGCUCAUCUAUAAACACAGUGAGUACAAAUGAGAUGGACAAGAAGACCCCUGCCUCCAGGGCCCCAUUAUUAUUCCUUAGUUGUUUCUAAAACAAGUCUGCAGGCCACUCUCAGGCCUCCCUGGACCCCAGGGAAGCGGUCUAUAUAACUACUGCACCUAGAACAGUCCUUCAGCCCCCUCCCAGGCUGAUCUGAAAGGUUUCCUUCAGCUCCCUGGAUCACUGCUGAGAAACACAGGACAAGUCUCUUAAAGCCUGGCUUCCAUGGGCCUAGCCCCAAUGCUCACCUGCUCUGAGAAGCCAGAAUUCCUCAGGUGGACACCAGAUGGAGCCCCGCCAUGACCCUGUUGCUGAUAAAUGACCAUAGAGGAGACAGUCACAAUUCCAAGAAUCUGAGCAGCCCCUUUUGGUUGUGGCCCAUGGUGCACCUU
rnacentral:lncRNA from 10 species